GAGAUUCCCCCAGUAGCGGCGAGCGAACGGGGAGCAGCCCAGAGCCUGAAUCAGUGUGUGUGUUAGUGGAAGCGUCUGGAAAGGCGCGCGAUACAGGGUGACAGCCCCGUACACAAAAAUACACAUAUUGUGAGCUCGAUGAGUAGGGCGGGACACGUGGUAUCCUGUCUGAAUAUGGGGGGACCAUCCUCCAAGGCUAAAUACUCCUGACUGACCGAUAGUGAACCAGUACCGUGAGGGAAAGGCGAAAAGAAC
rnacentral:rRNA from 1 species